rnacentral:rRNA from 1 species
UACGAAGGGGGGCUAGCGUUGCUCGGAAUCACUGGGCGUAAAGCGCACGUAGGCGGCUUUCUAAGUCAGGGGGUGAAAUCCUGGAGCUCAACUCCAGAACUGCCUUUGAUACUGGAGAGCUUGAGUCCGGAAGAGGUGAGUGGAACUCCGAGUGUAGAGGUGAAAUUCGUAGAUAUUCGGAAGAACACCAGUGGCGAAGGCGGCUCACUGGUCCGGUACUGACGCUGAUGUGCGAAAAGCGUGGGGGAGCAAACAGGAUUA